rnacentral:rRNA from 1 species
CCUACGGGUGGCAGCAGUAGGGAAUUUUCGGCAAUGGGGGGAACCCUGACCGAGCAACGCCGCGUGAACGAAGAAGUUAUUCGUAAUGUAAAGUUCUUUUAACAGGGAAGAACGAGAAAUUUGACGGUACCUGAAGAAUAAGCUCCGGCUAACUACGUGCAAGCAGACGCGGUAAUACGGAGGGAGCGAGCGUUAUCCGGAUUUAUUGGGUUCAAAGGGAGCGUAGACCGGCUUUUAAGUCAGCUGUGAAAGUCCGCGGCUCAACCGUGGAAUUGCAGUUGAAACUGGAGGUCUUGAGUACACACAGGGAUGCCGGAAUUCAUGGUGUAGGGGUGAAAUGCUUAGAUAUCAUGAAGAACUCCGAUCGCGAAGGCAAGUGUCCGGGGUGCAACUGACGCUGAGGCUCGAAAGUGCGGGUAUCAAACAGGAUUAGAUACCCCUGUAGUC